rnacentral:rRNA from 1 species
AUGGGGCAUCCACCAGCAGCGGGGGAGAAGACGGCCGGCGGCUUCUCCGUUGCCCACCACGAGCUGCUGAGCCGGGCCCUCGACCUAGAUCACAGCUCCGCUCACGAGAGGAUCGUCUACAGCUACCAGAGGACCCUAAACGGAUUUGCAGCAAGACUCACAAAAGACGAAAAAGAAAAGCUCUCUAGCAUGGAGGGUGUGGUGUCAAUCUUCCCAAGCAGGACGCACCAGCCUCUGACGACAAGAUCGUGGGACUUCCUAGGCUUCCCUCAGACGGUAAAGCGAAGCCUGGAGCUCGAGGGAGACGUCAUCAUCGGCAUGCUCGACACCGGCUUGUGGCCGGACUCCCCCUCCUUCUCCGACGAGGGCUUCGGGCCGCCGCCCAGCAGAUGGAAGGGCGCCUGCCUCAACUUCACCUGUAACAACAAGAUCAUUGGUGCUCGCGCGUACAACCACGGAUCAUCCACCGGCGGGCUGUCGGCGGUGGACACCCACGGGCACGGUACCCACACGGCGUCGACGGUGGCCGGCCGGGCAGUGGGGAACGUCAGCCUCGGUGGCCUCGCCGCGGGCACGGUCCGGGGCGCCGUGCCGGGCGCCAGGCUCGCCAUCUACAAGGUUUGCUCGGACGACGGCUGCAGCGACGCGGACAUGCUAGCGGGGUUCGACGACGCCGUGGCCGACGGCGUUGACGUGAUCUCCUUCUCCAUCGGGAGCAACCUGCCGUUCCCGUACUUCGAGGACGUGGGCGCGAUCGGCUCGUUCCACGCCAUGAGGGGCGGGGUGCUCACGUCGGCCGCGGCAGGGAACUCCGGGCUGGAGAGCGGGCGCGUCUCCAACGUCGCGCCGUGGAUUCUGUCCGUCGCCGCCAGUAGCACCGACCGCCGGCUCGUCGACAGGCUGGUGCUGGGAAACGGCAAGACCAUCGUGGGAGCCUCCAUUAACAUCUUCCCCGAGCUAAAGAAUGUUCCAUUUGUUCUUCCAAUCAAUGGUUCUUGCGAAGCAGAAUCACUGGCCGUGGCGGGGCGGUUAUACAAGGGAAAGAUCCUGCUCUGCGCCUUUACCGGCAACGGCAGCGGGCCGGCGACCGUCGGCGCUGCCGGCGCGGUCAUCGUCACCGACCAGCCCGACGUCGCGUUUUCGCUGCCCCUCCCCGCCGUCAUGGUUUCCCAGCACCAGUUCAGUAGAAUAAUGGCCUACGUCAACAGAACACGCAAUCCUGUGGGCACCAUCCUCGCCAGCGAGUCAGCCUUCGAUUCUCAGGCCCCCAUCGUGGCCAGUUUCUCUUCUCCAGGUCCAAACAUGAUCACCCCUUCGAUCUUGAAGCCUGACCUGUCCGCGCCGGGGAUCGACAUCCUGGCGGCGUGGUCACCGCUGUCGCCGGUGUCCGGGAGGAGCGUCGCGUACAGCAUCGACUCGGGAACCUCCAUGGCGUGCCCGCACGCGACCGGCGCCGCGGCAUACGUCAAGUCCUUCCACCCCGACUGGUCGCCGGCGAUGAUCAUGUCAGCUCUCAUCACCACAGCGACUCCGAUGAACUCGUCACGCAACCGCGGCGGCGGCGAGCUCACCUACGGCGCGGGGCAGCUCAAUCCGGUGCGGGCGCGGGACCCGGGGCUCGUGUACGACGCGCGCGAGGGCGACUACGUGCGCAUGUUGUGCGCCCAGGGGUACAACUCUACGCAGCUCCGGCUCGUCACCGACUCCGACGACGCCGCGCCCUGCCGUGGCGGCCGGGGAGGGUCCGCGGCCGACCUCAACUACCCGACCAUGGCGGUCCGCGCCGCACCGGGGAAGAACUUCAGCUCGCACUUCCCGCGCACCGUCACCAACGUCGGCGUGCCGGGGUCGGUGUACGUUGCCAAGCUCGUCAGCUCGCGGCCUGAACUCGUCGGCGUCGCAGUUUCGCCGAGGAGACUGGCGUUCAGCCAGCUGGGUCAGAGACUGUCGUUCACCGUGACGGUCUCCGGCGCGUUGGCUGGGGCGAACGAGUUUGUGUCGGCGGCCGUCGUGUGGUCGGACGGCGAUCGCCAUGUGAGGAGCCCGGUAAUUGUUCAUACUGUGGAUGUUUAA